rnacentral:rRNA from 1 species
GCGGAUGACGGGAGCUUGCUCCUUGAUUCAGCGGCGGACGGGUGAGUAAUGCCUAGGAAUCUGCCUGGUAGUGGGGGACAACGUUUCGAAAGGAACGCUAAUACCGCAUACGUCCUACGGGAGAAAGCAGGGGACCUUCGGGCCUUGCGCUAUCAGAUGAGCCUAGGUCGGAUUAGCUAGUUGGUGGGGUAAUGGCUCACCAAGGCGACGAUCCGUAACUGGUCUGAGAGGAUGAUCAGUCACACUGGAACUGAGACACGGUCCAGACUCCUACGGGAGGCAGCAGUGGGGAAUAUUGGACAAUGGGCGAAAGCCUGAUCCAGCCAUGCCGCGUGUGUGAAGAAGGUCUUCGGAUUGUAAAGCACUUUAAGUUGGGAGGAAGGGCAGUAAGUUAAUACCUUGCUGUUUUGACGUUACCGACAGAAUAAGCACCGGCUAACUCUGUGCCAGCAGCCGCGGUAAUACAGAGGGUGCAAGCGUUAAUCGGAAUUACUGGGCGUAAAGCGCGCGUAGGUGGUUCGUUAAGUUGGAUGUGAAAGCCCCGGGCUCAACCUGGGAACUGCAUCCAAAACUGGCGAGCUAGAGUACGGUAGAGGGUGGUGGAAUUUCCUGUGUAGCGGUGAAAUGCGUAGAUAUAGGAAGGAACACCAGUGGCGAAGGCGACCACCUGGACUGAUACUGACACUGAGGUGCGAAAGCGUGGGGAGCAAACAGGAUUAG